rnacentral:misc_RNA from 1 species
UCCCCGUUCUCCUGGGCAGUCUCUCCAGAGUUCUCGGCUUGACCCGUUAGUAACUGAAGACAGGGGUUGCGCUCGUUGCGGGACACGAACUUUCAUUCGCUUUAGCUAGCAUGUCAAGCCCAGGUAAGGUUCUUCGCGUUGCAUCGAAUUGAACCACAUGCUCCACUGCUUGUGCGGGCCCCCGUCAAUUCCUUUGAGUUUCAACCUUGCGAUCGUACUCCCCAGGUGGAAUACUUAAUGCGUUAGCUGCGACACUGAGUUUGACCCCAACGUCUAGUAUUCAUCGUUUAAGGCGUGGACUAC